rnacentral:lncRNA from 1 species
UUCUUCUGUAAGUUGCACAUUCAGUAAAAUUAUUCAUGCUUUAUAUGAUGUUGUGAUGUGGAAUACUGAUAGCAAAAUUACAAAAUUAUUAAACCAUGACACAUGUAAACCAUAUAUAGGUUGUGAGUAAGUUUUACCAAGCAAGACUGUAGCUGCUGAGAGUCUGAGAAAGGACUUUUAAUGGAAUAAGGAAAAUAUCUCCUAAAUCAAUAUAGCAAAGAGAGCAAGUUUUUUGUUUUUUGUUUUGGUUUUUUUUUUUACUCAUUAUCUUCUAUUUAAAGAAUCGUUUAAGUGUAUUCCAUGUACCUCCUAAAGUUUUGGGGAUUUAUUGCUGAAAAUGUCUGGCACUUAUGUUUGGUGACCCUAUAAGAUACUUUUAUGUUAAUCUUUCUCAAAAGGGAGUGUGCUUCUGCAAACAGUUAUGUGCAGGGUGAGGCUACAUGCAAAGCUUAACCCAGGUCCCAGUUGCAAACAUUCAGGCUCAAGCUUGAACUCCUUUGUCUAAUUACGCUUUCUCAGAGGGCUGCUGUAAAGCAUAAUUCAUUGAUUUUAGAGGGGUCUUGAAUGGACUUGUAGGUAUCUCUCCACAUCUAUUGCUUUUAAUUUAGGCUUUCUAAAAGGCCUCAUUCUCAUUGGACUAAUUCUCAUUCUCUGGCCAAGUUUUCUGUGCCCUUAGUGGAUCAGAACAUUGCUAGCUGUAGCAUUUUGACAUGUAGAUGCGUGGAAAGCACUGCUCCCACACUUUUUUACUUUCUCUUCCAAGGAAUAAAAUGAAGAAUUUGAUAAUGGAGUUGGUGGUACUUCCACUUUUGUAAAUGGAUGUGGAAGAAGCUGCUAUUGCAACAAGUCCCUCCAUCUGUGAACCCAGCAAGGUGGGUGGCACCAUCUGAAGAUAUGGGACUUGGAUACUUCCACAGCCAGCAGCAAAAAUUUGGGAGGAAAGUGUAGCCAAGGGAUUUGUUUUGCAUCCAAAUCAAUGACAGAAAUAAAACCGCAUGACCUUCAUUUAGUGACCA